GACAUCACAGCCAGAAUGCAGAUUAAUUAGGACGGUAAUGCUGCGUCUUCUGCAGAGCAAAGCCAUCAACCUUCCCCCCCCCGCAGUUCUACAGACUGUCCCCACAAACUGGGGGGAAAGGGAAGGACAGUCUGUACCCCAGACCCUCUAAAGGCAUAAACUCCAGUCUGUUCCUGCAACAUCUCCCUGCCUGGGACUCCGAGCCCAUCGUGCUGUCUGGCAUGGUCAGACCUCAUUCUCAGGGGUGCCUGAUCCCUGGGGGAAACACCGACACAGGAGCCCCAAAGGCAUGAGGCCAGCUCACCCACCCAGCACCAGCCGUGCCAGCUCAGCUCUGCAGCCUCGCACACCAAAAGGUGGUUUUCUGUGAGCUCUGCCCAGCCUGGCUGGGGUCCCCAGCUGCACAGCACGGGGGAGGACUGGGGACCCACAUCUCCAGCGAGCAGCUGCGUCCUUCCCCGGCUCCAUCCAGGGAGCACACCUCAGGGAGGGGAGCGAAGGAGAGUGUGAUCAGGGUGUGCUCACAAGGAAAGGCCUGAGGAGGAGUCAUGAGGAAAACAAAGAGCACCGAGAGUGGUUUUGCUCAGCGCUCUCAGCUUUCUGCAGGGACCUCUUAUUUUACAUAAAAGAGAAGAUUUCAGAAAGCUCUAUUUUCUGCCUUCUCUGGCAACACCAGUAGGAAUUUACCAAAGGGGAAGCAGAGGUUUCUGUGGGUUCCUUAGAGCACUGUGACAUGCAUGUGACUCAUAAGCAGAGCAACAGACAAAACUCCCCUUGCUUUCCCUGAGCAUGUUAAAGCCUCGCUACAUAGCGCCCAUGACUGCAGUGCCAGAAGACACUAACAAAGCAAAUAUCAGAAAUAAAACUAGUAAGAGGAACAACGGAGGUUAGGAAAUGCUGGAGAUUUAGUGAAAGCGAAACAUUAUCAUCUCUAGGAAGGGCAAAAAUAAAAUAA